ACUCCUACGGGAGGCAGCAGUAGGGAAUCUUCCGCAAUGGACGAAAGUCUGACGGAGCAACGCCGCGUGAACGAUGAAGGCUUUCGGGUCGUAAAGUUCUGUUGUUAGGGAAGAACAAGUACCGGAGUAACUGCCGGUACCUCGACGGUACCUAACCAGAAAGCCACGGCUAACUACGUGCCAGCAGCCGCGGUAAUACGUAGGUGGCAAGCGUUGUCCGGAAUUAUUGGGCGUAAAGCGCGCGCAGGCGGUUCCUUAAGUCUGAUGUGAAAGCCCCCGGCUCAACCGGGGAGGGUCAUUGGAAACUGGGGAACUUGAGUGCAGAAGAGGAGAGCGGAAUUCCACGUGUAGCGGUGAAAUGCGUAGAGAUGUGGAGGAACACCGGUGGCGAAGGCGGCCCCCCUGGACAGAUACUGACACUCAGAUGCGAAAGCGUGGGGAGCAAACAGGAUUAGAUACCCUGGUAGCGACUGA
rnacentral:rRNA from 1 species